GACCAACAUUUCCUGGUAUUGAAGAAAAAUUUAGACCUUUUUAUGUAAGUCAGUUGAAAGAAAACAUAGAAGCAGAUGUGGAAUGUUUAAAGGUAGGUGAU